AUUGAACGCUGGCGGCAGGCUUAACACAUGCAAGUCGAGCGGAGAUGAGGUGCUUGCACCUUAUCUUAGCGGCGGACGGGUGAGUAAUGCUUAGGAAUCUGCCUAUUAGUGGGGGACAACAUUCCGAAAGGAAUGCUAAUACCGCAUACGUCCUACGGGAGAAAGCAGGGGAUCUUCGGACCUUGCGCUAAUAGAUGAGCCUAAGUCGGAUUAGCUAGUUGGUGGGGUAAAGGCCUACCAAGGCGACGAUCUGUAGCGGGUCGGAGAGGAUGAUCCGCCACACUGGGACUGAGACACGGCCCAGACUCCUACGGGAGGCAGCAGUGGGGAAUAUUGGACAAUGGGGGGAACCCUGAUCCAGCCAUGCCGCGUGUGUGAAGAAGGCCUUAUGGUUGUAAAGCACUUUAAGCGAGGAGGAGGCUACUGAGACUAAUACUCUUGGAUAGUGGACGUUACUCGCAGAAUAAGCACCGGCUAACUCUGUGCCAGCCACCGCAGUAAUAC
rnacentral:rRNA from 1 species